ACGAGCUCGGGGAGGGGGUGGGGUGGAGGCGGGAGCGGAGCCGGGCGCCGCCGGAGCUGCGGGGGGAGCGCUCGCUGGCUGGCUGGCUGGCUCUCCGCUGCGCUGCGCUGCGCUCCGGCCGCUCCCGCGGCCCGUGGAUGGGGGUGUCCGGCUGAGCCCCGGGAUCCUCCUCCCUCCGCCAGGACCCGCACAGAUAAACUCAUCCUGAAAGUCGCUGUUGUUCUCCUGCUGAGCAAGAAUGGAGGCCCCACUGGUGAGCCUGGAUGAAGAGUUUGAGGACCUUCGACCCUCCUGCUCCGAGGACCCGGAGGAGAAGCCCCAGUGUUUCUAUGGUUCAUCUCCCCACCAUCUCGAGGACCCCUCCCUCUCCGAGCUUGAGAAUUUUUCUUCCGAAAUAAUCAGCUUCAAGUCCAUGGAGGACCUCGUGAAUGAAUUUGACGAGAAGCUCAAUGUCUGCUUUCGGAACUACAACGCCAAGACCGAGAACCUAGCUCCCGUGAAGAACCAGUUACAGAUCCAAGAGGAGGAGGAGACCCUUCAGGACGAGGAGGUUUGGGAUGCUCUGACAGACAAUUACAUCCCUUCACUCUCAGAAGACUGGAGGGAUCCAAACAUCGAGGCUCUGAAUGGCAACUGCUCUGACGCUGAGGUAAUUGAGGAGAUUGAGGAAAUGAUGCAGAACUCCCCAGACCCUGAGGAAGAAGAGGAGGUUCUGGAAGAAGAGGAUGGAGGAGAAACUUCCUCCCAGGCAGACUCGGUCCUCCUGCAGGAGAUGCAGGCGUUGACACAGACCUUCAACAACAACUGGUCCUACGAAGGGCUGAGGCACAUGUCUGGGUCUGAGCUGACCGAGCUGCUGGACCAGGUGGAGGGUGCCAUCCGCGACUUCUCGGAGGAGCUGGUGCAGCAGCUGGCCCGCCGGGACGAGCUGGAGUUUGAGAAGGAAGUGAAGAACUCCUUUAUCACGGUGCUUAUUGAGGUUCAGAACAAGCAGAAGGAGCAGCGAGAACUGAUGAAAAAGAGGCGGAAAGAGAAAGGGCUGAGCUUGCAGAGCAGCCGGAUAGAGAAGGGAAACCAGAUGCCUCUCAAGGUAGGUGAACAACCAGGCAGAAGACUGGGUGCCUCGAACCUCCAACCCUGCCCGUUUCAGUGCCCUACCAACCCUGCAGGGGACUCAUCAAUGUUUACUGAGCAGUGGUGGUGAGCAGCACACUGUGACAGAUGGGGGUCAGAAAGCGGGAAGAUAUCCCCUGUUUCCUCCACUCCCCCAAAGGGCUCACAGUCUAACCCAGGAAGACAGUGUGUAAACAUUAGGAAAUAAUUGAAUUUGGCUUGUGUUCUCUGUAGGCAAGACCUUAAAGAAAGUGGAGUGAGGGUAUUUCGUGUUGGGAGUCUUGAGAUGGACCUCGGAAUUCUGGGUCCAAAUCCCUCCUUGUGUCCCAGGUUCCAGUACUGACUGGUCUCUUUAGGGUGUGC
rnacentral:sRNA from 1 species